UACGGGGGGGGCAAGCGUUGUUCGGAAUUACUGGGCGUAAAGGGUUCGUAGGUGGCCAACUAAGUCAGACGUGAAAUCCCUCAGCUCAACUGGGGAACUGCGUCUGAUACUGGUUGGCUUGAGUGUGGCAGAGGAAGGUGGAAUUCCACGUGUAGCGGUGAAAUGCGUAGAGAUGUGGAGGAACACCGAUGGCGAAGGCAGCCUUCUGGGCCAACACUGACGCUCAUGCACGAAAGCGUGGGGAGCAAACAGG
rnacentral:rRNA from 1 species